GGAGAGUUUGAUCCUGGCUCAGGAUGAACGCUAGCGGCAGGCCUAAUACAUGCAAGUCGUACGGCAACACAGUUGCGAGCAAUCGCAACCGGUGGCGAGUGGCGCACGGGUGAGUAACGCGUAUGUAACCUACCCUUCUCCGGGACAUAACUCCGCGAAAGCGGUGCUAAUAUCCCAUACCAACUCAUCAAGACAUCUUCUUGAGUUGAAAGCAGCAAUGCGGUGAAGGAUGGGCAUGCGUCCCAUUAGCUGGUUGGUGAGGUAAUGGCCCACCAAGGCUACGAUGGGUAGGGGUUCUGAGAGGAAAGCCCCCCACACUGGUACUGAGACACGGACCAGACUCCUACGGGAGGCAGCAGUAAGGAAUAUUGGGCAAUGGUCGAAAGACUGACCCAGCCAUGCCGCGUGCAGGAUGAAGGCCCUAUGGGUUGUAAACUGCUUUUAGCCGGGAAUAAACACCCGUUUUAUAACGGGCCCGAAGGUACCGGCUGAAUAAGCAUCGGCUAACUCCGUGCCAGCAGCCGCGGUAAUACGGAGGAUGCAAGCGUUAUCCGGAUUCACUGGGUUUAAAGGGUGCGCAGGCGGACAUUUAAGUCAGGGGUGAAAUCCUACAGCUUAACUGUAGAACUGCCCUUGAUACUGAAUGCCUAGAGUAAAGCUGAAGUGGGCGGAAUGUGUUGUGUAGCGGUGAAAUGCUUAGAUAUAACACAGAACACCAAUCGCGAAGGCAGCUCACUAAACUUUAACUGACGCUCAUGCACGAAAGCGUGGGGAGCAAACAGGAUUAGAUACCCUGGUAGUCCACGCCCUAAACGAUGAUCACUCGCUGUUGGCGAUAUAUUGUCAGUGGCUAAGCAAAAGUGAUAAGUGAUCCACCUGGGGAGUACGACCGCAAGGUUGAAACUCAAAGGAAUUGACGGGGGCCCGCACAAGCGGAGGAGCAUGUGGUUUAAUUCGAUGAUACGCGAGGAACCUUACCCGGGCUCGAACGUAUGUUGAAUAAUGUGGAAACAUGUUAGUCGUAAGACAACAUACGAGGUGCUGCAUGGUUGUCGUCAGCUCGUGCCGUGAGGUGUCAGGUUAAGUCCUAUAACGAGCGCAACCCCUAUUC
rnacentral:rRNA from 1 species